rnacentral:snRNA from 1 species
AGAUGUGAGGGCGAUCUGGCUGCGAGAUCUGUCACCCCAUUGAUCACCAGGGUUGAUUCGGCUGAUCUAGCAGGCUAGGCGGGUGUCCCCUUCCUCCCUCAAUGCUCCAUGUGCAUCCCUCCCGAAGCUGCACGCUCAGUCGAAGAGGAUGACCAACCCCGAUAGAGGAGGACCGGUCUUCGGUCAAGGGUAUACGAGUAGCUGCGCUCCCCUGCUAGAACCCCCAAACAAGCUCUCAAAAGCACAUGAAAUCUAUACAUAUAAUGAAAGGAGAUCCUUACAUUUGAGAUAACAGAUGAGCCGGGAAGAGACUGUGCUAAUUGAAAUAAUUCAGGCACAGAAAGAUAAAUACUGCAUAAUCUCAUGCAUAGUUGAAAUCUUUU